GCGCUGCUGCUCCGGCUUGCUGCUGCUGCUGCUGCUGCGGCGGCUCCUGUGGCUGCUGGGGGACCUCUCGGAGGAGAGCGGACUUGACUCUGAGCGCGCAGCAGAAAGGGACCUGUGCAGGGGGUACUCACACCAACGCACGCCGCACUGCAGCGACGCAGGCGGAUAGACAUGAAAGGCUCGUUGCGAAGUUUGGAGCCAACAUGGAAGAAAAGGAGCGCGUCGCGUACAGUUCUCUACAUCACCUGGAGCCCCCUUCAGCUCUGUAGCAGCUACUUAUGUCCUGGUCACCUGUGUUGAAUCAGACAACUGUUCAACUUAUCUCUCACACAACUGCCAGAAUCCGAAGUGGAUUCGCAUCUGCUCACGAGUGUUUUAUUCACUUUGAUUAAGCAUAAUAAUAAAAAAAAACAUGUUCUACA